rnacentral:rRNA from 1 species
ACGGAGGGUGCAAACGUUGUUCGGAAUCACUGGGCAUAAAGAGCAUGUAGGCGGCUCGCUAAGUCAGGUGUGAAAUCCCCCGGCUCAACCGGGGAACUGCACUUGAAACUGGCAAGCUUGAGGAUGGUUGGGGUGAGUGGAACUUCAGGUGGAGCGGUGAAAUGCGUAGAUAUCUGAAGGAACACCGGUGGCGAAAGCGGCUCACUGGACCAUUCCUGACGCUGAGAUGCGAAAGCUAGGGUAGCGAACGGG